GACGAACCGUGCGAACGUUGUUCGGAAUCACUGGGCUUAAAGGGCGCGUAGGCGGCUUCGCAAGUCCGGGGUGAAAGCCCCCAGCUCAACUGGGGAAGUGCCUUGGAUACUGCGGGGCUCGAGGAGGGUAGGGGUGCGCGGAACUUCCGGUGGAGCGGUGAAAUGCGUUGAUAUCGGAAGGAACGCCGGUGGCGAAAGCGGCGCACUGGACCCUUUCUGACGCUGAGGCGCGAAAGCCAGGGGAGCAAACGGG
rnacentral:rRNA from 1 species